rnacentral:rRNA from 1 species
UACGGGGGGGCGAGCGUGUUCGGUAAUUACUGGGCGGUAAAGGGCUCGUAGGCGGCCAACUAAGUCAGACGUUGAAAUCCCUCGGCUUAACCGGGGAACUGCGUCUGAUACUGGAUGGCUUGAGUUUGGGAGAGGGAUGCGGAAUUCCAGGUGUAGCGGUGAAAUGCGUAGAUAUCUGGAGGAACACCGGUGGCGAAGGCGGCAUCCUGGACCAACACUGACGCUGAGUGAGCGAAAGCCAGGGGAGCAAACGGG